ACCCCCGGUAUUAUUGCUGUUAUGGGUUGCGACCGAGCUUAGCCUUGUUCAUUUUUUUACACAACAGCCCCGUAAAAAAUAAAACACGCCUCGCUCAAGAUCGCAGUUCCCACCCCGUCCAACGGCUGAAAUCCGCCCUAAAGUGCGGCAAAAACGGCCCAGAGGCGCCUUUUUAGGGCAA
rfam:Pseudomonas sp. Bc-h sc_001, whole genome shotgun sequence.